rnacentral:rRNA from 1 species
CCGUCUCAUGGUCUUACGGCCAGGGCUACACACGUGCUACAAUGGUCGGUACAAAGGGUUGCCAAGCCGCGAGGUGGAGCUAAUCCCAUAAAACCGAUCGUAGUCCGGAUCGCAGUCUGCAACUCGACUGCGUGAAGUCGGAAUCGCUAGUAAUCGUGAAUCAGAAUGUCACGGUGAAUACGUUCCCGGGCCUUGUACACACCGCCCGUCACACCAUGGGAGUGGGUUGCUCCAGAAGUAGCUAGUCUAACCGCAAGGGGGACGGUUACCACGGAGUGAUUCAUGACUGGGGUGAAGUCGUAACAAGGUAGCCGUAGGGGAACCUGCGGUUGGAUCACCUCCUA